rnacentral:rRNA from 1 species
UGUCUCCACCAUGAACUCGGUGAAAUUGCAUUACGAGUAAAGAUGCUCGUUACGCGCAGCAGGACGGGAAGACCCCGGGACCUUUACUAUAGUUUGGUAUUGGUGAUUGGGACGGUUUGUGUAGGAUAGGUGGGAGACGUUGAUGCGGCCACGCUAGUGGUGGUGGAGUCGUUGGUGAAAUACCACUCUGAUUGUUCUGGUUAUCUCACUGUGGACCGUGAUCCGGUUCAAGGACAGUGCCUGAUGGGUAGUUUGACUGGGGCGGUCGCCUCCUAAAGGGUAACGGAGGCGCCCAAAGGUUCCCUCAGCCUGGUUGGUAAUCAGGUGGUGAGUGUAAGUGCACAAGGGGGCUUGACUGUGAGACUGACAGGUCGAGCAGGGACGAAAGUCGGGACUAGUGAUCUGACGGUGGCUUGUGGAUGC